rnacentral:rRNA from 1 species
UUGUUGAUGAAGAACCCGACAAACGAAAAAAUGACUGGAAACUCAAUGACCGCUGGGCGUGGUUUAUUGGAGAUAAUCGGCAAAGUCUGAAACUGACGACAAAGCCAGAGCCUUAUACCUUAGACCGUACAUUGCGUUGGGUACAAAGGCAGGUAGCACCGACCUUGAAAAUGCUGAAAAAGAUUGAUAAAGGAAACGGUACAGACUACAUGGAAACAAUCGAACAGCAGGCAAAGCUCACAGAAAAGCAUGAAAUGAUAAUCAAACAGCAGACGACCCCUGCAAAAGAUUUAGUAAAAAGUUAGGAGUUAUAAAAAAUGUGGGAAUUAGUAAAAGACUUCCUGCUGGUAUCUCUGGGAAUGGGAUCGGCGUAGUCUUGAUGUGUAUUAUGAGUGUCGGCAAAGAAGCUGACUAUGAAAUGAAACAAUUAAAAGAAAGCGAGGACAAUUAAAUGAAUUUCGGACAAAAUCUUUACACUUGGUUUUUAAGCAACGCACAGAGCUUAGUGCUUAUGGCGAUUGUGGUUAUUGGUAUCUACUUAGGGUUCAAGCGUGAGUUUUCAAAACUUAUCGGCUUCUUGGUAGUUGCCUUGAUUGCUGUCGGAUUGGUAUUCAAUGCUGGCGGUGUGAAAGAUGUACUGUUAGAGCUGUUCAAUAAGAUUAUUGGAGCAUAACGAAUUUUAUUGUUGCUGUAAUAUGAGAAUGUUAUAAUGUGGGUACGAUAAAUUAUUUUUUGAAAGGAAUAAAAGUGCUUAUGAUUUCAGAUGAAAUGAGAGUGGAUAUUUUACAUGCAGUAUUCAUAAACAAAAAUUUUAUUAAAGAUGAAGAAAAUUGUAAUUAUGAAAAAUACUUGUUGGAAUUAGUUAAUAAAUCAAUCUAUUUUAGAGAAAAAUCAAAUUUUGCAGAAUAUGUACCACCUAAAUCUGAAAAUCAUGGAGAAUGUGAUUGUAACUCACCUAAUUAUCAAAUGGACUUUAAAUUACUUGAAAGCACAACAAGACUUCAUGCUUCAAAAGAACUUACUGGUCAAAUACAGAAAUUCUGUGAUGGUGUAAUUGGUAAGUGUCCACCGAGAAGACCAAAUACACAAAUGACUGUAACUAGGUUAUUUGCUUCGUUGCGGGAUUAUGAUUGUGAAAGUUUACAUUCUUGUCUUACAGAGAAAUAUGAGUAUGGAACGAUUGAAUUUGAUGUACAAACCUAUGUGAAAUUGCUUACUUUCAAGAAAAACUUAUUUUUCUUUUUUCCAUACAAGUUUAGUUUUAAUACUCGUUAUAACUUUAAAUAUGCUUUAGAUAGUAUAAGAAUUGCUUUAGAAAAAGAUUUUAGAGAGUCAAAUCUUUUUAGAGAAAAAUACUAUGCAGAGUAUGAUACUUUCUUAGCAUAUAUCUAUGAAGAUAAUCUGAUAAUAAGUAAAUUUGAAAAAGACGGCAAGUUACAAAUGAUUGAUUGUAUAUAUUUAUUUAAAAGUCAAACAUACAGUAAACUUUACGAGUACACAUGGCAAAUCAGUUACACUUAAACAAAUUCAUACUUACACAUAAAGCAGUUAGUCUUAGGAUUGACUGCUUUUUUCUUACCUAAAAUCAGAUUGGAGUGAUGAAAUGAACGAUAUUUUUAAGGAUAUGCAGGUAAAAGUCGGUUGUGAUUAUAUUUCCGACCUGCCCUCUUACAAGCGUAAGGUGUGGCAUGAAAUGAAACGGCUGAACCUUGCCAAUUAUGAAGAAAAACAGUUAGAAGAUUUUUCUAAAUAUGUGUUUGGUAUGUCAUACCAGACCUUAAAAGAUGUGAUGAAACAACAGAAAGGACGUGAAGAACAAUGCAGGAAACAAGGGUGCUGGUGGAAACGAGAGGAACAACUGGCGAAGAAACAACAUCAUACUGGUUCGACCUGCCGAUAGAUGUUGCCGAGUUUGAAGAAAAAUUAGGUAUUGGUGCAGAAAGUCAAGAGUACCGCAUUAUCGAAAAGGUACUGCCCUUUGCUGAUGAAGUCCAUGAACAUACCAGCGUGUACCAGCUCAACGAAUUAGAUUUUAUGUACCACCAGCUUUCAAGCGAUAUGCAGGAAGAAUAUACAACGCUUCUUUCCGUGUAUGAAAAUUUAGAAGCACUUUAUAUUUGCAGGAACGUGAUUACGGUUUAUCCCGACUGCAAAAGCAUGAUUGAUGUUGCAAGGCAAAAGCUGAUGAAUGACCCGACAUUCAAGCAUUUAUCCGAGGACUGUCAAGAAUACUAUUUUGACUUUGAAGCCUACGCUUUGCACUUGCAGGAACACGGGAAGUUUUUAGUAACAGAACACGGUAUCUUUGAACUGCCAGAGUAAGAAAUGAGGUGGUGCUUAUGAUUGAUGAUAUGGCGGUUUAUAUUGCUAAUCUCGGCAAAUA